CCUACGGGUGGCAGCAGUGAGGAAUAUUGGUCAAUGGACGAGAGUCUGAACCAGCCAAGUAGCGUGAAGGAUGACUGCCCUAUGGGUUGUAAACUUCUUUUAUAUGGGAAUAAAAUGUUCCACGUGUGGGAUUUUGUAUGUACCAUAUGAAUAAGGAUCGGCUAACUCCGAGCCAGCAGCCGUGGUAAUACGGAGGAUCCGAGCGUUAUCCGGAUUUAUUGGGUUUAAAGGGAGCGUAGGUGGAUUGUUAAGUCAGUUGUGAAAGUUUGUGGCUCAACCGUAAAAUUGCAGUUGAAACUGGCAGUCUUGAGUACAGUAGAGGUGGGCGGAAUUCGUGGUGUAGCGGUGAAAUGCUUAGAUAUCACGAAGAACUCCGAUUGCGAAGGCAGUUCACUGGACUGCAACUGACACUGAGGCUCGAAAGUGUGGGUAUCAAACAGGAUUAGAUACCCGAGUAGUC
rnacentral:rRNA from 1 species